rnacentral:rRNA from 1 species
UACGUAGGGUGCAAGCGUUGUCCGGAAUUAUUGGGCGUAAAGAGCUCGUAGGCGGUCUGUCGCGUCGGCUGUGAAAACCCGGGGCUCAACCCCGGGCCUGCAGUCGAUACGGGCAGACUAGAGUGCGGUAGGGGAGACUGGAAUUCCUGGUGUAGCGGUGAAAUGCGCAGAUAUCAGGAGGAACACCGGUGGCGAAGGCAGGUCUCUGGGCCACUACUGACGCUGAGAAGCGAAAGCAUGGGGAGCGAACAGG